UACGAAGGGGGCAAGCGUUGUUCGGAAUUACUGGGCGUAAAGGGCGCGUAGGCGGCUUAUCAAGUCAGGCGUGAAAUUCCCGGGCUCAACCUGGGGGCUGCGCUUGAUACUGAUUGGCUUAAUGCGGGAGAGGAUAGUGGAAUUCCCAGUGUAGAGGUGAAAUUCGUAGAUAUUGGGAAGAACACCGGUGGCGAAGGCGGCUAUCUGGCCCGUAAUUGACGCUGAGGCGCGAAAGCGUGGGGAGCAAACAGG
rnacentral:rRNA from 1 species